rnacentral:rRNA from 1 species
UGAGGAAUAUUGGUCAAUGGGCGGAAGCCUGAACCAGCCAAGUCGCGUGAAGGAUGAAGGUUCUAUGGAUCGUAAACUUCUUUUAUAGGGGAAUAAAGUGCGCCACGUGUGGUGUUUUGUAUGUACCCUAGGAAUAAGCAUCGGCUAACUCCGUGCCAGCAGCCGCGGUAAUACGUAGGGGGCAAGCGUUGUCCGGAAUUACUGGGCGUAAAGAGCACGUAGGCGGUAACCUAAGUCAGAUGUGAAAGACCAGGGCUUAACUCUGGGGUUGCAUACGAAACUGGGUAACUAGAGUGCAGGAGAGGAAAGUGGAGUUCCUAGUGUAGCGGUGAAAUGCGUAGAUAUUAGGAGGAACACCAGUGGCGAAGGCGGCUUUCUGGACUGUAACUGACGCUGAGGUGCGAAGGCCAGGGGAGCGAACG